GACGAACGCUGGCGGCGUGCUUAACACAUGCAAGUCGAACGGUAAGGCCCUUCGGGGUACACGAGUGGCGAACGGGUGAGUAACACGUGGGUGACCUGCCCUGCACUUCGGGAUAAGCCUGGGAAACUGGGUCUAAUACCGGAUAGGACCACUGCCUGCAUGGGUGGUGGUAGAAAGCUUUUGCGGUGUGGGAUGGGCCCGCGGCCUACCAGCUUGUUGGUGGGGUGAUGGCCUACCAAGGCGACGACGGGUAGCCGGCCUGAGGGGGUGACCGGCCACACUGGGACUGAGAUACGGCCCAGACUCCUACGGGAGGCAGCAGUGGGGAAUAUUGCACAAUGGGCGCAAGCCUGAUGCAGCGACGCCGCGUGAGGGAUGACGGCCUUCGGGUUGUAAACCUCUUUCAGCACCGACGAAGCGCAAGUGACGGUAGGUGCAGAAGAAGGACCGGCCAACUACGUGCCAGCAGCCGCCGUAA
rnacentral:rRNA from 1 species